rnacentral:rRNA from 1 species
AUGGACCACCCAGCACCGGGGGGCUCUUGUGGCCUACCUUACAAGGUGGGUUGCCCAGCCUUUACCCGUGAGCUGCGGCAGUUCGAGGGGCCCACUCACCGCACGUUCAAGCCUGACGUCGGUGAGAAGUACAACGGCAAGACUCACCCGUCAGAGUUCCUUAGCAUCUACACCAUUGCGAUGCAAGAUGCCGGAGCUCAUGAUGACACGGUGCUUGCCAAUUACUUCCCAUUAGCACUUAAACCAAACAUCAUGUCAUGGUUGAUGCACUUGCCAGUGGAUUCUAUUUCUUCUUGGUCGGAUUUGUGCCAUGAGUUUGUUGGCGCCUUUAUGGGAGGCCACCAAGCUCAUGGCCAGGCAAGCGACUUGCAUAUCAUCCCCCAGAAAGAAGGCGAGAACAUGUGCAAGUACAUACAAAGGUUCAGCCGAGUGCAAGACAACAUCCUGGAUGUUAAUCCCGCUGCUAUCAUCAUCGCAUUCCAUCAAAAUGUGCGUAAUCGCAAGAUGCGUGAAGAGCUGACGAUGAACAAGGUCAAGGAUGUGGCGGAACUCUAUUGUAUAGCCGAUAGAUGUGCUCGGGCUGAAGAGGGAAGGAAGUACCCCGGCGAAUAUGCCAGUGCGGAAACCGACUCAUCAGACGAGGAUGCCAUCGCCCCGGCAAAGAAGGGCCGAUGCCGCAAUAGGAAGCGCAAGGGCAAGGCCGUGCUUGCCGUCAAGGGAUCCGACGACACCGGCGCUGCCAAGAAGACCAAGGCAGACGACCACGGCAAGGAAGCUCCCGGGUGCGCCGCCUGCUGGGCCUUGGCGGCUGGAGGAUCCAUCACACCAAGGGCCACGACCUCCAGAACUGCCGACAAGUCGAGCAGCUCGCAGAGAAGCAGAAAGCCGAAUAUGAAAGGCGGGACAAGGAGAAGGGCCAAGAUGGUGCUGAGGGAACCGGGAAGAAGCGUGGCGGCCAAGUAG